AGGUCGCUGCUAUCGGCGUCCGACUAAGCCAUGCAAGCCCAGGCCCCCUUUGCGGGACCGGCGAACUGCUCAGUAACACGUCACUAACCUGCCCAGGGGUCCGGGAUAACCUCGGGAAACUGAGGAUAAUACCGGAUAGGGAAUGGGUACUGGAAUGUCCCGUUCCCGAAAGCUUCGGCGCCCCUGGAUGGGGUGGCGGCCGAUUAGGUAGUUGGUGGGGUAAAGGCCCACCAAGCCGACGAUCGGUACGGGCUAUGAGAGUGGGAGCCCGGAGAAGGGUACUGAGAUACGGACCCUAGCCCUACGGGGUGCAGCAGGCGCGAAACCUCUGCAAUGCCUGACAGGGUGACAGGGGGACGCCGAGUGCUCACGCUUUCGCGUGGGCUUUUGCCAAGGGUAAGAACCUUGGCGAAUAAGGGGUGGGCAAGACCGGUGCCAGCCGCCGCGGUAACACCGGCGCCCCGAGUGGGGACCGCUCUUAUUGGGCCUAAAGCAUCCGUAGCCGGCCCGGUAAAUCUUCUGUGAAAUCGGCCAGCUCAACUGGUCGGCGUGCAGAAGACACUGCCGGGCUAGGGACCGGGAGACGCUGGAGGUAUUCCCCGGGUACCGGUAAAAUGGGAUAAUCCGGGGAGGACCACCUGUGGCGAAGGCGUCCAGCGAGAACGGGUCCGACGGUGAGGGAUGAAAGCCAGGGGAGCAAAUGGGAUUAGAUACCCCAGUAGUCCUGGCCGUAAACUCUGAGAGGUAGGUGUUGCAUGUCCCACGAGGGCAUGCAGCAUCGAAGGGAAGCCGUAGACCUCUCCGCCUGGGAAGUACGGUCGCAAGGCUGAAACUUAAAGGAAUUGGCGGGGGAGCACCACAAGGGGUGCGGCGUGCGGUUUAAUCGGAUUCAACGCCGAGAACCUUACCGGGGGCGACAGCAGGAUGAAGGUCCGUCUGAAGGGCGUACCUGACGCGCUGAGAGGUUGUGCAUGGCCGUCGUCAGCUCGUGCCGUGAGGUGUCCUGUUAAGUCAGGUAACGAGCGAGACCCGUGCCCACAAUUGCCAGCGUGCGCUUCGGCGUGAACGGGCACUUUGUGGGGACUGCCUGCGAAAGCAGGAGGAAGGUGCGGGCGACGGUAGGUCUGUAUGCCCCGAAUCUCCCGGGCUACACGCGCGCAACAAUGGCCUGGACAAUGGGCUGCGACGCCGAAAGGCGAAGCGAAUCCUCGAAACCAGGCCUCAGUUCAGAUCGAGGGUUGCAACUCACCCUCGUGACGCCGGAAUCCCUAGUAAUCGGAGUUCAACAUGCUCCGGUGAACACGUCCCUGUUCCU
rnacentral:rRNA from 1 species